UGGGGAAUCUUGGACAAUGGGGGCAACCCUGAUCCAGCCAUGCCGCGUGAGUGAUGAAGGCCUUAGGGUCGUAAAGCUCUUUCGCCUGUGAAGAUAAUGACGGUAGCAGGUAAAGAAACCCCGGCUAACUCCGUGCCAGCAGCCGCGGUAAUACGGAGGGGGUUAGCGUUGUUCGGAAUUACUGGGCGUAAAGCGCACGUAGGCGGACCAGAAAGUUGGGGGUGAAAUCCCGGGGGCUCAACCCCGGAACUGCCUCCAAAACUAUUGGUCUAGAGUUCGAGAGAGGUGAGUGGAAUUCCAAGUGUAGAGGUGAAAUUCGUAGAUAUUUGGAGGAACACCAGUGGCGAAGGCGGCUCACUGGCUCGAUACUGACGCUGAGGUGCGAAAGUGUGGGGAGCAAACAGGAUUAGAUACCCUGGUAGUCCACACCGUAAAACGAUGAAUGCCAGUCGUCGGGUAGCAUGCUAUUCGGUGACACACCUAACGGAUUAAGCAUUCCGCCUGGGGAGUACGGC
rnacentral:rRNA from 1 species